UCCUCCAUAACGAUGUUUCGAUCGGAAGCAUUUAAAAAUUAACCACUAAUGAUGUAUAUUUCAAAUUCUCAAUACCUUGAGAAUAUAUAAAAUCAUCUUUGUUAAUUUUUAGAACAAAUCAUGGACAUAUAUGACAUGAUUGGUUAACAAGGCUGUCCGUCAAGUAUAAAGUAUCCCCUAGAUAAAGGUAUGUAUUAGUCA
rnacentral:lncRNA from 1 species